rnacentral:rRNA from 1 species
CCUACGGGGGGCGGCAGUAGGGAAUAUUAGUUAAUGUGCGAAAGCGCGAACUAGCAACGCCGCGUGUGCGAUGAAGGCCUUCGGGUCGUAAAGCACUUUUCUAGGGGAUGAGGAAGGACAGUACCUUAGGAAUAAGCAUCGGCUAACUACGUGCCAGCAGCCCCGGUC